rnacentral:tRNA from 1 species
CCCUAUGGUAGCUUAAAAAAAGCCUCAGCCUCUUGAUCUGAAAAUGGAAAUCUGUUAUAUCCCCUAGGGA